GAAGAACAGAGCCACCAGGGUAAUGAAGGGAAUUGGAGGAGUGAGAAGGACAGGUCCAUCAGAAAUAUGGAGCGGUUGAGGAAUGGGCAAGGGCCACCAGGGAUGGUCCUGAUUCAGCAAGGGGCCUAACUGGAAGCAUGUGAGCAGUGCCAUUGACUUAACUGGGGCUAUUCAUAGAACAUCCGAGGGGAACUGAGAGAAGACAGCUGAGACCAGGCUUGGGAGGAGGCCUAGAAAUAAGGUGCAGAAGUGGUUGAAGGAAUUGAGCUUGGGCAAUGGAGCAGAAUUUGCAAAACAACUAGCAUCAAAUGAGGAUGAGAACAACUGCCAGAACUGAGCUUAUCACCAACAUUUACACAGAAUGGCUGGAUACCUCUUAAAUGUAGAAUCUCGGACAUAAGGAAGGUACAUGGAAGACUGAAUAAUGACUCAGUUUAAUAGUGAUUCAUUUAGACCAUCUCUCCUGCAUCUGGUGAGCGCUGCAUUCCCUAAGCAGACAGAUUCAUCUCAGCUAGACAGAAGUGAUGGGUACUGUACUGUGUGAUGGAGA